GACGAACGCUGGCGGCGUGCCUAAUACAUGCAAGUAGAACGCAGUUGCGAACGGGUGAGGAACGCGUAGGUAACUGCCUCAUAGCGGGGGAUAACUAUUGGAAACGAUAGCUAAUACCGCAUACUGUGAGAUGGAACUGCGUUGUAUUAGCUAGUUGGUGAGGUAAAGGCUCACCAAGGAGACGAUACCUAGCCGACCUGAUAGGGUGAUCGGCCACACUGGGCAUGUGACACGGCUCAGAAUCCUACGGGUGGCAGCAGUAGGGAAUUGUGGGCAAGGGACGGAAGUCGGACCGAGCAACGCGGCGGUAGUGAAGAAGGUUUUCGGGUCGUAAAGCGCUGUUGUGAGAGAAGCGUUAACUAAACAAAAAGGGACGGCUAACUACGUGCCAGCAGCCGCGGUAAUAC
rnacentral:rRNA from 1 species